rnacentral:rRNA from 1 species
AGUUUGAUCCUGGCUCAGGAUGAACGCUAGCUACAGGCUUAACACAUGCAAGUCGAGGGGCAGCAUCAUCAAAGCUUGCUUUGAUGGAUGGCGACCGGCGCACGGGUGAGUAACACGUAUCCAACCCGCCGACAACACUGGGAUAGCCUUUCGAAAGAAAGAUUAAUACCGGAUGGCAUAGUUUUCCCGCAUGGGAUAAUUAUUAAAGAAUUUCGGUUGUCGAUGGGGAUGCGUUCCAUUAGGCAGUUGGCGGGGUAACGGCCCACCAAACCAACGAUGGAUAGGGGUUCUGAGAGGAAGGUCCCCCACAUUGGAACUGAGACACGGUCCAAACUCCUACGGGAGGCAGCAGUGAGGAAUAUUGGUCAAUGGACGAGAGUCUGAACCAGCCCAAGUAGCGUGAAGGAUGACUGCCCUAUGGGUUGUAAACUUCUUUUAUACGGGAAUAAAGUUAGCCACGUGUGGCUUUUUGUAUGUACCGUAUGAAUAAGGAUCGGCUAACUCCGUGCCAGCAGCCGCGGUAAUACGGAGGAUCCGAGCGUUAUCCGGAUUUAUUGGGUUUAAGGGGAGCGUAGGCGGGUUGUUAAGCCAGUUGUGAAAGUUUGCGGCUCAACCGUAAAAUUGCAGUUGAUACUGGCGACCUUGAGUGCAACAGAGGUAGGCGGAAUUCGUGGUGUAGCGGUGAAAUGCUUAGAUAUCACGAAGAACUCCGAUUGCGAAGGCAGCUUACUGGAUUGUAACUGACGCUGAUGCUCGAAAGUGUGGGUAUCAAACAGGAUUAGAUACCCUGGUAGUCCACACAGUAAACGAUGAAUACUCGCUGUUGGCGAUAUACUGUCAGCGGCCAAGCGAAAGCAUUAAGUAUUCCACCUGGGGAGUACGCCGGCAACGGUGAAACUCAAAGGAAUUGACGGGGGCCCGCACAAGCGGAGGAACAUGUGGUUUAAUUCGAUGAUACGCGAGGAACCUUACCCGGGCUUAAAUUGCAACUGACUGAAUCGGAAACGGUUCUUUCUUCGGACAGUUGUGAAGGUGCUGCAUGGUUGUCGUCAGCUCGUGCCGUGAGGUGUCGGCUUAAGUGCCAUAACGGGCGCAACCCUUACGGGUAGUUACCAUCAGGUUAUGCUGGGGACUCUACCCGGACUGCCGUCGUAAGAUGUGAGGAAGGUGGA